GAAACUCUAAAAUUUGAUUAGCCUUAUUAAUUAUGAAGUGCAUUGAAAGUUAAAUAGCGCAGGUGAUGCCAAGGUCUUUAAUGGCAGCUUGUACAAUUGGAUGUCUUGUAAGAUUUUUGCAGAUGCUAAACGGAAGAUAGCAAUUGAGACAUUCAGGUUAUCAGCAAAGAGGGAGAACUUAACUAAAGUAUUAAGUAAAAACUAGGAGAAAGAUCAUUAGCAUAUACUUUGAAAAGAAAUGGGUCAAAUAACGACCCCUGAGGUAUACCGGACAAAACUGCUAUUCUUUUAUAAAUUACUGGAUUGUUUCAGUUUGGUAGAUAGCAUAUAGGAGUUAAACAAGUUGAAGAGAGGACAUACACGACUUAGGCAAGUUCACCAGAUUAUAGUUCAAAUACUGGUGAGAGGAGAUCCUGGCAUAAAGAAAGUGUAUAAACAGAAAAAUAUUAUUCUCCGGGGAAAUGACUGGAACCACCGAGCGAAAGGGAAAUCAGGAGGAAGACAAAAAUUAUUUUUUCUGAAAUUUUGUCUUUGGUUUAAAUAUAAAUAAAUUCAUAAUAAUAAGAAUCUAAUUCAGUAAUUGCUCAACAUAUACAACCCAACGC